GAGAGAAAAACGAGAGAAACGUUCCUCCUUUUACAAAACACAGGACGAAAAAGGAGGAGAUAAUCGUAUCUUUUUCCAGGAGGGGAGAUGCGGCUAUUUAGGGUUAUUUUUUUUCUCUUUUUUCAAACUUCUCUCUCUUUGUUGUGUAGU
rnacentral:ribozyme from 14 species